rnacentral:miRNA from 1 species
ACAAUAUUUUGCUGCCCAUAUUAUUCCUGGUUGUUAACAAUUAUUGUUCAGGCUGAACAAUGCUGAGCAAUAUUGUUGACAACCAGGAACAAUAUGGGCAGCAAAGUAUUGUUC